rnacentral:rRNA from 1 species
GAACGUCGUGAGACAGUUCGGUCCCUAUCUGCCGUGGGCGCUGGAGAACUGAGGGGGGCUGCUCCUAGUACGAGAGGACCGGAGUGGACGCAUCACUGGUGUUCGGGUUGUCAUGCCAAUGGCACUGCCCGGUAGCUAAAUGCGGAAGAGAUAAGUGCUGAAAGCAUCUAAGCACGAAACUUGCCCCGAGAUGAGUUCUCCCUGACCCUUUAAGGGUCCUGAAGGAACGUUGAAGACGACGACGUUGAUAGGCCGGGUGUGUAAGCGCAGCGAUGCGUUGAGCUAACCGGUACUAAUGAACCGUGAGGCUUAACCUU